GACGAACGCUGGCGGCGUGCCUAAUACAUGCAAGUAGAACGCACAGUUUAUACCGUAGCUUGCUACACCAUACACUGUGAGUUGCGAACGGGUGAGUAACGCGUAGGUAACCUGCCUGGUAGCGGGGGAUAACUAUUGGAAACGAUAGCUAAUACCGCAUAAUAUUAAUUAUUGCAUGAUAAUUGAUUGAAAGAUGCAAUUGCAUCACUACCAGAUGGACCUGCGUUGUAUUAGCUAGUAGGUGAGGUAACGGCUCACCUAGGCGACGAUACAUAGCCGACCGGAGAGGGUGAUCGGCCACACUGGGACUGAGACACGGCCCAGACUCCUACGGGAGGCAGCAGUAGGGAAUCUUCGGCAAUAGACGAAAGUCUGACCGAGCAACGCCGCGGGAGUGAAGAAGGGUUUCGGAUCGUAAAGCUCGGUUGUAAGAGAAGAACGGGUGUGAGAGUGGAAAGUUCACACUGUGACGGUAUCUUACCAGAAAGGGACGGCUAACUACGUG
rnacentral:rRNA from 1 species